CGGAGUUUGCAGCCUCGGAAUUGGCUAGAGCGCCAGAGCCGAGUCAGCCAUAAAGCUACGCGCUAGGCUCUUGGCCCUGACGUGAGGCGCGCAGAGAUGGCGUAACGGGAAUAGUUUUCAACGUCUAUUUCAUUCCCUGCUUCAGAGGACCUCUUUAAUCUUUGAUUUUGGUCCCUGUUUCUAAGAAAAGCAACUGAAAAGGUCGUAAUACCGCCCCUGAGAAAAAAGGAGCAGCGCUAAAUAAUCGAGAAAAUGCCUCCUCUUGAAACGGAUAUAGAGAUGGAAACAAGAUAUAAGAAGGAUUGAGAAUCAUAUAAUACAGGAGCUUAAACACCUAUGCGCGAUGAUAAAGAGGGUACUAUUAGAGCGCUUGGAAAAUACCAGGAAGUUGAGAGAGUUAACAGAAGGGCGCACGCUGGAUUGGCCACAAAAUCGAAUUACUGAAGUAAGUGCAAAACGACAAAUUGUCACAGAAUACAGAGAAAAGGGGAAAAGAAAUUAAGAGGAGAAAAAGAGAGAUCUAGAGGGCCGGUCCAGGAGAUACAAUCUAUGCAUAAUAGGAAUACCUGAAACUGAGGACAGAGCAAGUGGAGCUGAAACAAUAAAGGAUCUACUUGAAAAAAUUUUCCAGAAUUGAAGAACGAACUAGAUCUACAAAUGGAAAAGGCUCAUAGGAUACCUUUAAAGUUUAAUGAAAAGAAAGCAGCAUCUAGACAUAUCCGGGUGACGUUUUUGAAUUUCAAAGACGAAACAUUUUACAAGCAUCCAGUCAGAGAAAGCAGGUUACUUACAAAGGGGCAAAAGUCAGGCUGACCUCAGAUUUUUCUCCUGCAAUUCUAAAUGCCAGAAGACAGUGGAACAAUAUCUAGAGUGUUAAGGGAAAAUAAUUUUGAGCCAAGAAUUAUAUACUCUGCCAAGUUAUCAUUUCUUUACAAAGGAAACUGGAAGACAUUCUUAGAUAUACAGGGGUUAGGAAAGUAUAUCAACCAAGAACUUUCCCUGAAAAUUUUGCUGAAGGAUUUACUGCAGCUAACAGAGAACCUGAAUUAAAAUAAGAAUAGGGAGGCAAUUGUAUGAAAGAACUGAUGGUAUGCAUUAAAACUAGUUAAGGAGCAUUAAGUUUAAAUUGUUAUGUAUAGGGCAUUAAAACUAAAUACAAAAAUAGAAACAUAAGCUGGGUGUAAAAUUUCAGUUUACGUUUAAACUGGAAGGGCAUACCACAUGUUCAAUAUAUUGGACAAAUACUGUUUUAUUUUUAGCAUGUAGUAUUGUAGAUACAAAUACGCAUGUUCUUAAGCUAAACCUAAGUAAAAGGGCUUUGUCACUGUAGAUUUGACAAAUAACAUUCUAAAUGUCAAAUCUGACAAUUGGAAAACAGUACAGUUUUAUUUCCCUUAUUUUUAAGUAUAGCAGGAAAAAAAUAACAAGUUUGUCCAUGUUACUACUGAUACUGUAAAGAAACUUCCAAAUCACUGGUUUGGGAGGGGGUGGAUACAUCCUCAUUUUCUGUACAUGAUGCAUGGGGAAAAACAGUAGUUACUGCAUCAUAUAGUUCCAAGUAAAUCAUAUAGUUCCAAGUAAAUUUGACAUGGAAAUAAGUGUUAACUACAAAAAUAGAAUAUAUACAUUCCAAUGUUUGGAAAAGAAGUGGUAAAAAGAAAAAUAGCAAAAAGACACUAAAAUUAGCAAAAAGUAGAUUGACAGUACAGAUGACCUAUAAACUGGUUAAAUAGCCCUAUUACAAUUGAAAUUGGGUCAAAAAUCAAUCUCUAACCUGAGAUACAUUUGUAUAAAACAAAUGAUCAAAGAGUUUAAAGAUAAUGGAAACUAUAAAUCAUAGAAAUGGCAACAUUUUUCUUAAAAUCUAAACAUAAGACAUUUUAUGUAAAACAUACAAUAUAGGAUGUAACAUUUAACAAACUAUAUGGUAAAUAAUAUGACAUUAAUAUAUAAAAUAUAUGUUCCAGAUCUUGAUGUGGGUGAUAGUUUUACUUAUGUACAUCGAUAUACAUCUAUUUAAAAACAUGUACAUUUAAAUUGUUGCAUUUUAUGUAUUUAAAAUUUAUUGAGUAAUCCUUCUGUAUGUAUUAUUAAAGAGAAUAUAGCAAAAAAAUAUGUUGGACUAUGACUUCAACAUUUAUGAUUUCUUUUUUUAGAGACAAGAGGGUCUUGCUUUGUAGCCUAGGGUGGAAUGCAGUGGCAACAUCAUAGCUCACUGCAGUCUCCCAACUCCUAGGCUCAAGUAAUCCUCCUGCCUCGGCCUCCCAAAGCACUAAGAUUACAAAUGUGAGCCACCAACCCAGCGCAGUUACAGCUUUUGAUAAAUCAAGUAAAUGGGAAGUUAAGAGAUAAAAGGGCCACUACUGAUUAGGACACUUAUGGAGAACGUGGGUAGCACUGAAGCAGCAUUCUAGUUUCCAGUGCCAUCAACCUCAUACGUAUCUACCUGGUCUCUGAUCGAAGCUACCGUAAUGUGUUCUUGAGGUCAACAUGUUUUGUGGAAGUCACUGUAUUUGCCCCUUUAUGUCAAUUACCUAUUAUAAACCGAGAGAAAUGGGAAAAUUAAAAACCUGUUUUGAAUUAUUUUUAAUGCAGAACUAUUUUUUCAAGUGAAAUCUUAUACAGAAGUCUGGUAUAUGAAACAGAUAAAAAUGAACCAAUGAGAUUGAAGGGAAUGAGUAGCAUGUAAUCCUGCCCACUCUUCGGAGAAUUUGAGGCAACUUUGUAGAGCCUUAGGAGUUCAGUUUGUAUGUUACUGGGUAAUUUAAAGCAGAAAUUUUAAUCUGACUGCACUUAAGAAUCAUCUGAAGUGUUUGUAUUGGUUAGUCUUAUUUUUAAUACUGAUGUCCUGGUCUCUCUCCCCUCAAAAAAACUCUGCUGCUGGGACCAAGCACAUAGAUGCUUUUUAAAAAGCUCCCGAAAAUGACUCUAAUAUGCAGCCAGGAUUGAAAAUAACUACCCUACACAGCAUUUUUCCUGAUUCUGAGCACUCAGCUUUUCAUUGAUUUUCCCUAGGGCAAGUCCUUCAUCUUAUUCUGGGUCCUUGUGUUUUCUUUCUGAACCUACAAUUUCUCCAUAGGUCCCAUGGUUUUCAAAAUUUCUCAUUUUCCAUUUUCUGUCCUUUUAUAUUACCUACUUGAAAACCACAGUCAUCUUUCAAAACAAAACACUGCCUGUUUCUUAGGUCUUUAUUGUGGGCUUGUUAUUCCUCAAUACAAAUUUACAUAAAAUAAUAACAAUUAAGACAUGGGCCUUGGUGUCAGAAUUAUUUUAUAUCUUUCUUAUUAACUCUGCAGCUUACCAGCUCUGGAUAAGUUAAAGGACAGCUAUAGUCUUACUACAUAGAAUCAUUAUAAGGAAUUGGUGGAGUGAUCCUUAUAAAGUGUUUGCAUGGUACCUAGCACAGAGAAAGUGCUUGAAGUUGUUAACUGUUAUGGUUACAAAAUAUGUAAAUAAUUUUUAUUGUCCAAUUUUCUCUCUUCAUAUACACUAAAUUGUUCUAAUUCUUGAACCACAGUAACAACGUGUGAAUGACUUAUGCAUUCAGUGUGUCCACUCAACUACUAUUUAUUAAGUACCUGUUAUGGUCUAUGAAAGGAACUGGCAAGACAGUCAUUAUUCCCCUUAAAUAUUCCCAAGUGUUAGUGGUCAAAGUUUCUCUCUGCUGAAAAUGAAAAGUACCCCGUAGGAUGGAGGAAACAGCCAUCUUGAGGGCUAAAUCUGGUCUAACAUAAUAUUUGUUGACCUGUUACUACAGUGUUGCCACAUAUGCUUUGUUGGUUUUUUAAUUUAGCCCCCAAACAUUUUAAAAAUCAGAUCAUUUCAUGUUAAAAGAAAUCUAGACUUCUAGUUCUCUUGCAAAUGUGAGCUCUGACAAACAUUGAAAUUAUAGAGUAGCAGGGGUAGUGUGCCCUUUAUUUGGUGCAUGUCUUCUGCAGGUUCCCAAGUUCUGCUGUUCUCUGUUGUUGCCUCAUCACUGAGGCCAAAUGUCAGUUGCUGCUUACAUGCAUUUGAACAGUUGUUAUUUUUUAUAGUGAAAUUAAAGGUAAACUGUUUUGAUAUCCAUGUUUCUACCAAAGGUAAGAAAACACAAGCCAAAAAGACACAGAUUUCAAAAAAAAUAAGAGAAAGCAUAAUUCUUUAUGGAAGUGAAGAAUAGUCUUUUUAUCUAAGUAUGCCAAAAAAAGCAUGUAUAAAAAAAUACAAUUUAAGAUGCCAUUAUGAAAAAACUCCAAGUCAGUGUUUACUAACAUCUUUUCAGUUUUAGGAAGGAGGCAGGUUGUCUUGCAUCUCAUUGGAUCUCCGGUACUACCUAUUUCUUGAAAUACCAUAAGUGCUAAUAUAUACUUGCAAUAGAUAAACAUGAGGAGUAUUACAAAUACAAGAGAUAGCAGGAACUAUUUUAAUAUUAAGAGAUAUCAAAUAUGCACGCUAGGAUUAAUAAAUGAAAUAAUUAUUUUCCUUCUUCUACAAUAUUUACUUAAUCUGGAGGCAGAAAUACAUGUUGUCUCUCUUCCUGCUUCUCCAUCAAAAUCCCGACCAAGUAAUCAGGAUCUUUGAGAAUCACAAUAAGAAUUACAGCCUCAUGUUUGGAUUUUUUAAAUUUAAAUUUUAAAUUACUCCUUUCCACUGAUAUUUAUUGAGAAACUGCUAUGCUCCAGGUACUGCGAUAAACACUGGGCAAAUGUUGGAGAGCUAAAAAGGCAUAUUCCUCUUAUAAAGACAUUAUUUACUUGUAACAAACAAGUAAAUAAAUGUAUUAGUCAAUAUGUAAGUAAACAAAAAAAUGGACAAGCACAAAUUAUAUUAAGUACUAUGUAGGAAACCAAUAGAGUACUGUAACAGAAUAAUAAGGUAUAUGGGAUGGGGGUGGGAAUCUGUUCAGAGAUGAUCUACCUGAGAAGGUAACAUGUAGGCAGAGAUCUGAAUCGUGAGGAGUCAGCCUUUCAGAGUAAGUGGAGUAGGCACUUCCAAGAGAAAAGCAUAUUCCUGGCUAUUUGCCUAUCAAUGUCAUCUUGAACAAGGGUUAGCAAUCUCCUACCUGUACCACAGAUGCUAUGUGCCACCUCCAUGCUACCUUUGCCACCAAGAGAUUCAAUGUGAUGCAUGAUUUGAAGGUUCCUCAUCCUGAUACCCUGUGGAAAGUAAAAUCAGUGACAAAUAAAAGCAGAUCAUUAUCUCAGGUAGAGUCUGCUAAAGAUGAUACUUGCUUGUCAGUACAUGAGUAUCCACCCUAGUAAAAAACCACAGAAGAAGUGGGAUUUAUCUUCAAUGUUCUCUCACUUCCCCUUCCAAGUGCCUCUCCUGCCUUCUGAUGCUCUUUCCCACAAGUUGCAGGCAAAUAAAGCAUGUAUAUUACUCUCUUUUUAUCCAGAGUUGCUCCUUGUCCUUAUAUGAAGUAGAUUCCAGACCUCACAAUUGUAUAUGCCUACCCUUCUACUCCAACCCCUCAAAAAAAGAGGAAGAAUGAAAGAAUGAACAAGAGAAAAGGAAGGAAGAGAGGGAGAGAGGAAAGGAGGGAAGGAUGGUCCUGAAGAUCACAGUUCGGUGCUGAAAAAAGCAUUUCUAUUAAACUUCAAGACAGAAUGAAUGACCAUAGCUAAUAAUGUACCUUAAGCUUUUCUAGAAUCUUUGUAUUAAAAAAGUUGAUUGUUACUAAAUGUAUUUUAAUCUCAUAAAAUUUUAGGAAUUUAAAUGAAGAAUUUCACAAAGGGUAAGAAAAAUUAUAUAUUAUAUUUAUAAAUUUGUCAUUAUGAUUCUCCCAUUGUGGAAAAAAAAACAAAAUCUCGGUACCCCAAUUCACAAAGCCAAAAGGAAGAAAGUAAGCUGAACGCUGAGUCAUGCAAGAAACUGCUCGCUUUUGUUCCUAAGCUAAUAGCUACAGAUAAAAGGUCAGAUAUCUCCAUAGGUAGGUACUCUAUGUUCACCUUAUGUAAAGUGCCAAUUUAUUGAGCGUAAGAGGAUUACCUAAUUGACUAUUCCCCAGCCUGCUCCUUUUCUCUUGCAACACAUGGAGUCAGCAAUGGGACCAUAUCCUCUCUCUUUCCCCUCCAGCCUGCUUUCCCCCUUUAAAUACUGAAGCCCUCAAAAUCAUCUUUCUAAAAAGGUAUGAACCAUAGAUUGUUCCUGUGGAUUUGUGUUUCUUUCUUCCGGGCAUAUCCUUAAGCUUGGCAAAAUAAAAUUCUAAAUUGAUUG
rnacentral:lncRNA from 1 species